GGAAAAAUGAAGAAAAAUAGAAAAAUAAAAAUAUUAUAUUCAGAGAUAAGUCAAAACAUUUAGAUACAAUCGUGAAGACUUUGGAGGGUACAUAUACUCUCCUUUUGGCAGGUUGAUGCUAUCAAAAUGAAGAUAAUAGAAACAGGAACUGGAAGUUAGAAAAGACAUAUUUAGUAUCCCUGCUAUAUAUUUACUUUCAUCUAUCUGUCUUGUGGAAAAGUAAAUCCAGACUUCUGUUUGUUGAAUCUCUCUACCAGACAUCAGUCAAUGUUCAGUGAUGUCUUUCUACUUUCUCUGAUGACUACAGGGGAGAUUUGGCAGUAGGGAACAGUUAGAAUACUGUCAUGUUAGAAUACUCUUUGAAGAACCUGGUUUUAUUGGUCAUUUCCCACCACUUGCUAGAAAUCUCUGAGAGUCAUAGAGGGAUCUGUGACAGAGUCACAUAAAACCAAGAUCCAUGACAUUAGACAUUUAGUUUACUCGUUGGAGAGCAUAACAACAAAGGGAAAAUAAGUGAGCUAUUACAAUAAAAAAAAAUUUCCCCCCACAUUCCAUCCAGUUAUUUUCAGUCUAAGAGCUAAACUUGAGUUCAGGGCCUAUAUGUCUACUGUAAAAUUUCAUUUUAUCAUCUAAUGAACCUAAAUGGACAGUGUUUAAUGCAAGAACUCAUAGGAUAGUUCAUGCAAAUGGAGGAAGCAAUCAAUUCAAAAGAGUUGUCAGACUAAAGUCUUCCAGUGACAAUAAUGAACCGAAAUGCAAAACAGAUCCUACAGAAGCUCCUAGUCUGCUUCAAAUCGCUGAACCCCACGCACAUCAUUUCAGUGACGGGGAACCAGCAUUAUAGCAUCUAGUCCUUUAAGUUUGAGAUCAUCUUCAUGAGGAACUCAUCGGAUUUCCUUCUUUUCUGUUCUGAAAUCAAAUAAGCAAAUAAAACACAAAUACCUGGAAGGCCUGUCUUACUUUAGAGAAAUCUGAUUGUGCCAAGAGAAAAAUUUGAGUGGGUUGCUUCAAAAGAAUCCAUAUGACAGUCCCAAUGUGUCCAGUGAUUUUUAGUUGCUCUGAUAUCUUUAUUGUGUAUUUUGUGAAGAUUAAUAGUUUCUAUUGAUAAAGUUCUUUGAUGCCCUUGGAUAAAAUGCUGACUAAAGUUCAAUGUAUGAUUAUUUAUCUUUUCAUCUGGCACUGCGGUUUCCAAAAUGUAACUCUACAGAUUGUGUACCAUAUGUUUUCAAGUAUAGAACUUUUAUCUCAAAAGUGUUUGUUUCUUAGGUUCAGUAACAGAAUUACUUGUCUGCUGGAUACUGUGCAAUUAUGUUAUGCAAUUAAAGUAAAUUUUAAGAGCCAACAUUUUUUUUUUUUAGAAAGAAUAGGUUUAUAAAUGGAGAAAGAGAAUAUGUUAAUUCUACCCCUUAGGACUGGGAACUGUGCCCACGACUGUAAACAUGACACAAGAUGAACUGCAGGUUGAUAGAUUGGGUUAAUCAUGAAAUUGGAUCAAAAAGGGAGGGUUUAACUACAAAAAGACAACAUGAGGAAAUGUUUUCAGGCUAUGGAACUGUUCAGUAUCAUGAUUGUGUUGAUGAUUACAUGAGUCUACAUGAGCCUUUAGAUUCAGAACCGUAUAUACAGAAGGAAAUGCUAUUAUAUUUGUAUAUUAUAUGUAUAUAUGAGGUAUAGAUGUGGUUGGAUGAAUGCAUGUAUACAUUUUCACACCCAAACACCUAAAAUAGGUGAAUUUAUUUGUACAUAAAUUAUACCUAAAUGAAGUUGACUGAAAAUAUGAUCUUGUCAUUACCUAUACAUGAAAGCCUACAACCAUGCUUCUUUCAUGAAGAGAACAAAUAAUUAUACAAGGAACACAAAAUAGCUUUGAACAACAUCAAAUAUACAAUUUCCUGCUUCAAAACAUAUUUAAUGUUAAGGAAGACAGCUGAAAUAAUUGACUUGUGUUUAAUUUUCUAAUCUAAUUGAAAAUAGUAAUCACAGUUUUUCUUUAUUCCAGAAUAAGCUCUUAACUUUUUAGUUCUUGGAAUUUUCCCCUAUAUUUCAUAUCCUAGAAUUAUUAUUGGAAAACAAUCCCCAUAUUCAAUUUUAAAAUAAGAGUUCUAUUUAUUUUGAAAAUAAAUAUGGGGUCUUCACAUAUACAUUGAGACAGAACUCAAGCAAUGCAUCCAUUUAUAUUUUGAAUAUAUUACUACCUGCUGGUAAACAAUAUUUUUUUGUGUGUUCUUGCUUAUAUUUUGUCUUUAACGAUUCAGUUUUCUUCCACUACUUUUCUCCUUCAGAGCUAGUGCAAGUCAUCAUUUAUAUGAGACAUUAGAAGGCCAUUUGCCAUCAUUAAUAUUUUACAUCACCUAAAUUCUUUCUCUUGUUUGGCAGUACCCUUGGCACCUCUGUUCACCGCAUUAAAGCAGUGAAUAAAACAUAAACAUGUCUACCUUCAUGAAG
ensembl:lncRNA